AGAGUUUGAUCAUGGCUCAGAUUGAACGCUGGCGGCAGGCCUAACACAUGCAAGUCGAGCGGUAGCACAAGAGAGCUUGCUCUCUGGGUGACGAGCGGCGGACGGGUGAGUAAUGUCUGGGAAACUGCCUGAUGGAGGGGGAUAACUACUGGAAACGGUAGCUAAUACCGCAUAACGUCUUCGGACCAAAGUGGGGGACCUUCGGGCCUCACGCCAUCAGAUGUGCCCAGAUGGGAUUAGCUAGUAGGUGGGGUAAUGGCUCACCUAGGCGACGAUCCCUAGCUGGUCUGAGAGGAUGACCAGCCACACUGGAACUGAGACACGGUCCAGACUCCUACGGGAGGCAGCAGUGGGGAAUAUUGCACAAUGGGCGCAAGCCUGAUGCAGCCAUGCCGCGUGUGUGAAGAAGGCCUUCGGGUUGUAAAGCACUUUCAGCGAGGAGGAAGGGUAGUGUGUUAAUAGCACAUUGCAUUGACGUUACUCGCAGAAGAAGCACCGGCUAACUCCGUGCCAGCAGCCGCGGUAAUACGGAGGGUGCAAGCGUUAAUCGGAAUUACUGGGCGUAAAGCGCACGCAGGCGGUUUGUUAAGUCAGAUGUGAAAUCCCCGCGCUUAACGUGGGAACUGCAUUUGAAACUGGCAAGCUAGAGUCUUGUAGAGGGGGGUAGAAUUCCAGGUGUAGCGGUGAAAUGCGUAGAGAUCUGGAGGAAUACCGGUGGCGAAGGCGGCCCCCUGGACAAAGACUGACGCUCAGGUGCGAAAGCGUGGGGAGCAAACAGGAUUAGAUACCCCGGUAGUCCAA
rnacentral:rRNA from 1 species